CCUUCUCCUAAAACCCAUU
rnacentral:miRNA from 1 species